GACGUAGGGCGCGAGCGUUGUCCGGAUUUAUUGGGCGUAAAGAGCUCGUAGGCGGCUUGUCGCGUCGACUGUGAAAACCCGCGGCUCAACUGCGGGCCUGCAGUCGAUACGGGCAGGCUAGAGUUCGGUAGGGGAGACUGGAAUUCCUGGUGUAGCGGUGAAAUGCGCAGAUAUCAGGAGGAACACCGGUGGCGAAGGCGGCAUCCUGGACCGACAUUGACGCUGAGGAGCGAAAGCGUGGGGAGCAAACAGG
rnacentral:rRNA from 1 species